GCGCAUGUGAUGAAAUUGGUAGACACGUCAGACUUAGGAUCUGAUGCCGCAUGGUGUGGGGGUUCGAGUCCCUCCAUGCGCA
rnacentral:tRNA from 1 species